AUUGAGCGCUGGCGGCAUGCCUUACACAUGCAAGUCGAACGGCAGCACGGGAGCAAUCCUGGUGGCGAGUGGCGAACGGGUGAGUAAAGUAUCGGAACGUGCCCAGUCGUGGGGGAUAACGUAGCGAAAGUUACGCUAAUACCGCAUCCGAUCUAUGGAUGAAAGCGGGGGAUCGCAAGACCUCGCGCGAUUGGAGCGGCCGAUAUCAGAUUAGGUAGUUGGUGGGGUAAAGGCUCACCAAGCCGACGACCUGUAGCUGGUCUGAGAGGACGACCAGCCACACUGGGACUGAGACACGGCCCAGACUCCUACGGGAGGCAGCAGUGGGGAAUUUUGGACAAUGGGCGAAAGCCUGAUCCAGCCAUGCCGCGUGCAGGAUGAAGGCCUUCGGGUUGUAAACUGCUUUUGUACGGAACGAAAAGGUUUGGCCUAAUAAGCUGAGCUCAUGACGGUACCGUAAGAAUAAGCACCGGCUAACUACGUGCCAGCAGCCGCGGUAA
rnacentral:rRNA from 1 species